AUGGGGUCGAUGUCAUCAACAUCUCCCUCGUCCGUGAGUCGGGAGUACCGCUCGACAAGGACGUUGUGGCCAUUGGCGCAUUCCGUGCGGUGGCCAAGGGCGUCGUCUUCGUCACUUCCUUCUGCUGGCAACGACGGCCCCGACCCGUCCACUGUCAACAACGACACGCCGUGGGAGAUCACGGUGGCCGCCGGAUCGGUGGACCGGAAGCUCGCCGCCGGCCUUUUGCUCGAGUCGGGCGACCUGGUCGAAGGAGAGGCACUGGUACAGGGGCCCAACUCGACCGCUUACCAACCCCUCCACUACCCCGGCGAGGGUAACCUGUGCAGGAAGGUGAGCGCCGAGCGCACGAGGGGCCACAUCGUGAUAUGUGAUGAUGCCGGGGUCAAGGUUGACGAUCAAGUCCGCAUCAUCAAAAAUCUCUACGACAAUGACGCGGCUCAGGUCAUGCUCAUCGGUCAGGAGAAAGCCGGUUUCACCUUGGGCUUCAGGGAGUACGGGUCCUCCGUCGUGCAGGAGCCUGCCGCCGUCGGCCACAAGCUCAAGGACUACAGCCAGUACCCGGAUUCCGCGGCGCAGGUGUUCUUCAAGGGCACGCAGCUCGGCGUCGGCCAGUCGCCCACCGUCGCCUACUUCUCCAGCCGAGGCCCGAGCCGCGGCAACCCGCGCAUCCUGAAGCCCGACAUCCUGGCGCCGGGGCUCAACAUCCUCGCCGCAGCCACGGAGAGUCCAGACCGGGGGCCUUUCAGAUUCAAGUCCGGGACGUCGAUGGCGGUGCCGCACAUCAGCGGCGUGGUCGCCCUUCUCAAGAGCGUGCACCCGGACUGGUCGCCGAUGGCCAUCAGGUCCGCCAUAAUGACCACGGCCGAUGAGCUGGACAACGACGGCAAACCGAUCAUGAACGAGAAGCACGAGCCGGCGAGCGCAUUCGCUGUAGGCGCGGGGCACGUCAACCCCACGCGCGCCGUCGACCCAGGGCUGGUCUAUGACCUAGAGGUCAAAGACUACGCCGGGUACGUUUGCCAUCUUUUCGCCAGGGCCAGGCUCGACGACGACGACGACGACGACAACUACGCCGACGAGUACACCGUGCAAGACAUCCUCCAGGACCUGAACUUGAAUUGCAGGAACCUGCCCCGUCUGUCAGACAUCGACCUCAACUACCCGAGCAUUGUGGUGCCGGCGAACACCACGGUUCGGCGGACACUGACGAAUGUGGGGCCGGCGGAGCAGUACACGGGCAGGUUGUCCAUGGCCCAUGACGUGGGGGUGGAUUUCUCGCUCAAGUGGUUGUCCUUCUCGCGGCCCGGGGAGAAGCUCACCUUCCAAGUAAGCCAUCAUGGGUCCGAGAUCGCAGAAGGAUUCUUGAUCUGGGAGUCGAAUACGCACACGGUCCAAAGCCCACUCGUCGUCGUG
rnacentral:rRNA from 1 species